rnacentral:rRNA from 1 species
GACGUACGCUGGCGGCGUGCUUAACACAUGCAAGUCGAACGGAAAGGCCCUGCUUUUGUGGGGUGCUCGAGUGGCGAACGGGUGAGUAACACGUGAGUAACCUGCCCUUGACUUUGGGAUAACUUCAGGAAACUGGGGCUAAUACCGGAUAGGAGCUCCUGCUGCAUGGUGGGGGUUGGAAAGUUUCGGCGGUUGGGGAUGGACUCGCGGCUUAUCAGCUUGUUGGUGGGGUAGUGGCUUACCAAGGCUUUGACGGGUAGCCGGCCUGAGAGGGUGACCGGCCACAUUGGGACUGAGAUACGGCCCAGACUCCUACGGGAGGCAGCAGGGGGGAAUAUUGCACAAUGGGCGGAAGCCUGAUGCAGCAACGCCGCGUGCGGGAUGACGGCCUUCGGGUGGUAAACCGCUUUCGCCUGUGACGAAGCGUGAGUGACGGUAAUGGGUAAAGAAGCACCGGCUAACUACGUG